ACUGGCCCUAGCCCAAAACACCUAAACAUAAAAGAUCAACCUAACCCCUAAAUCAAAACAUUCAAUUACUCUUAAAAGUAUAGGAGAUAGAAAUUAUCCACAGGCGCUAUAGAGACAGUACCGCAAGGGAAAGAUGAAAGAACAAACCCUAGUACCAAAUAGCAAAGCUUCCCCCUUGUACCUUUUGCAUAAUGAGCUAACCAGAACAACUUUGACAAAGAGAACUUUAGCCAAAAACCCCGAAACCAGACGAGCUACUCACGGGCAGUCAAAAGGACAAACCCAUCUAUGUAGCAAAAUAGUGGGAAGACCUAUGAGUAGAAGUGAAACGCCAACCGAGCCUGGUGAUAGCUGGUUGUCCAAUAUAGAAUCCUAGUUCAACUUUAAAUUUACCCAAAGAACACACCACUCUUAACGUAAAUUUAAAUGCUAGUCCAAAGGGGUACAGCUCUUUGGACACAGGACUCAACCUCUAAUAGAGAGUAAGCCACAAGCCACCCAUUGUUGGCUUAAAAGCAGCCACCAAUUAAGAUAGCGUUCAAGCUCAAUAAACCUACACAAACCUAAUCCCUACCAUUCAAAUCGAACUCCUAACAUCUAACUGGACCAAUCUAUAUUUAUAUAGAAGCAAUACUGUUAGUAUGAGUAACAAGAACCUCAUUCUCCCCGCACAAGCUUAUAUCAGACCGAAUACCCACUGAUAGUUAACAGUACAGUAUAAAUUACCCAACUAGAACCUACUUACAUCUCCAACUGUUAACCCAACACAGGCGUGCAUAAAGGAAAGAUUAAAAGAGACAGAAGGAACUCGGCAACCACAAACCCCGCCUGUUUACCAAAAACAUCACCUCUAGCAUAAAAAGUAUUAGAGGCACUGCCUGCCCAGUGACACAAUUCAACGGCCGCGGUAUCCUGACCGUGCAAAGGUAGCAUAAUCAUUUGUUCCUUAAUUAGGGACUUGCAUGAAAGGCCACACGAGGGUUUUACUGUCUCCUGUCUCCGAUCAGUGAAAUUGACCCCCCCGUGAAGAGGCGGGGAUGUAAUAAUAAGACGAGAAGACCCUAUGGAGCUUCAAUCAACUAGCCCAAAUAAAGCAAUAUAAACCUAACCCAGGCAACAAUAACAAAACCCUAUGAGCUAGCGAUUUCGGUUGGGGCGACCUCGGAGCAAAAAAAAACCUCCGAAUGACCAUGACCUAGACUAACCAGUCAAAGUAAUAUAUUCACCAAUUGAUCCAAAAUAAUUUGACCAACGGAACAAGUUACCCUAGGGAUAACAGCGCAAUUCUAUUAUAGAGUCCCUAUCGACAAUAGAGUUUACGACCUCGAUGUUGGAUCAGGACAUCCCAAUGGUGCAACAGCUAUUAAAGGUUCGUUUGUUCAACGAUUAAAGUCCUACGUGAUCUGAGUUCAGACCGGAGCAAUCCAGGUCGGUUUCUAUCUAUUAACGUAUUUCUCCCAGUACGAAAGGACAAGAGAAAUGAGGCCCACCUUCCAAAGGACACCUCCAACCUCAAUGAAUGAUAUAAUCUCAACUCAAACCAGAUUCUCCUCCCCAGCCCAAGAGCAGGGCUU